rnacentral:rRNA from 2 species
CCGCUAUAUGCAGUCGAGCGACUGAUGAGAAGCGUGCUUCUAUGACGUUAGCGGCGGACGGGUGAGGAUCACGUGGGCGACCUGCCUGGGGGACUGGGAUAACUUCGGGAAACCGAAGCUAAUACCGGAUAGGAUCUUCUCCUUCAGGGGAGAUGAUUGCUAGAUGGUUUCGGCUAUCCCUUACCGAUGGGCCCGCGGGGCGUUAUCUAGGUGGUGAGGUAACGGCUCACCAAGGGAACCAUGCAUAACCAACCUGAGAGGGUGAUCGGACACACUGGGACUGAGACACGGCCCAGACUCCUACGGGAGGCAGCAAUAGGGAAUCUUCCCCAGUGGACGAAAGUCUGACGGAGCAACGCCGCGUGAGUGAUGAAGGCUUUCGGGUCGUAAAACUCUGUUGUUAGGGAAGAACAAGUACGAAAGUAGCUGCUCGUACCUUGACGGUACCUAACCAGAAAGCCACGGCUAACUACGUGCCAUCCGCCGCGGGAAUACGUAAGUGGCAAGCGUUGUCCGGAAUUAUUGGGCGUAAAGCGCGCGCAGGCGGUUUCUUAAGUCUGAUGUGAAAGCCCACGGCUCAACCGUGGACGGUCAUUGGAAACUGGGGAACUUGAGUGCAGAAUACAAAAGCGGAAUUCCACGUGUAGCGGUGAAAUGCGUAGAGAUGUGGAGGAACACCAGUGGCGAAGGCGGCUUUUUGGUCUGUAACUGACGCUGAGGCGCGAAGCGUGGAGAGCAAACAGGAUUAGAUACCCUGGUAGUCCACGCCGAAACGAUGAGUGCUCAGUGUUAGAGGGUUUCCGCCCUUUAGUGCUGCAGCUAACGCAUUAAGCACUCCGCCUGGGGAAUACGGACGCAAGACUGAAACUCAAAGGCACUUGACAGGGGUCCACACAAGCGGUGGAGCAUGUGGCUUAAUUCGAGCAACGCUGAGACUCUUAUCAGGUCUUGUCUCCUCUGAGAACUCUAGACAUAGAGCAUUCCCCUCGGGGGACGAAUGACAGGUGCUGCAUGGUGUCCGUCACUGUGCUAGAGAUGUAGGAAUCAUUCACCGACUCCAGCGACACCCUGGCUCUUAGUGCCAGCAUUGUUGAGGACACACGGUCUGACGGGUACUCGAUUGCGCGUGUACGACAGGACGUACGUGUAGCAUGACUUGCACCUUAUCGACGUC